CGAACGUGUGCUACGUUUUUUCCGUAAACUGUGAUAAAUUUUAUUGCGUUUGAAAAUGAAAAUAAUUUGUUUAUUGACCUUGGCCGUAUGCAGUGUUCUUGGCAGGCAAAUCCACCAACAGAAUUAUAACGGGGGUUACAAGGGACGACAUUUCUUUGGCUGUAUCAUACGUUUAUUGAUGAAUAACAAGUGGCAGUUCAACGUUGAUAAAUUUCGUAAGAUGAUAGAGACUAAAUUCUCCAACAGAAAAGUGAACGUUAGAAAGAUCAUUAAAAGGUGUGCAAAUGGUAUUAAUCCAAAUAAUUUGCGAUCAUGUAACGAUCGGUCUAAAUUCGGUCGUUGUCUCUUCGAUGUUAUGCGCAAAAAGUUUAACUAUCAAAACAACGAUCUAGGUUGCCUUUUUCGUUGAUGAUUAUAGCCUAGAAUAAUUAAAAGAAAUAUUUUCCAAUUCAUUAGACUUUAAUUGCAUAGAAUUUAAUGUUGAAGCUGUAAAUCCAAUCCAAGUAACCGAAUAAAAUUGAA